UACGUAGGGUGCAAGCGUUAAUCGGAAUUACUGGGCGUAAAGCGUGCGCAGGCGGUUUUGUAAGUCUGACGUGAAAUCCCCGGGCUCAACCUGGGAAUUGCGUUGGAGACUGCAAGGCUGGAGUCUGGCAGAGGGGGGUAGAAUUCCACGUGUAGCAGUGAAAUGCGUAGAGAUGUGGAGGAACACCGAUGGCGAAGGCAGCCUCCUGGGAUAACACUGACGCUCAUGCACGAAAGCGUGGGGAGCAAACAGG
rnacentral:rRNA from 1 species